rnacentral:rRNA from 1 species
UGCCAGCCGCCGCGGUAAUACGGAGGGGGUUAGCGUUGUUCGGAGUUACUGGGCGUAAAGCGUGCGCAGGCAGUUUUAUAAGUCAGAUGUGAAAUCCCCGAGCUCAACUUGGGAACUGCGUUUGAAACUGUAAGACUAGAGUGUGUCAGAGGGGGGUAGAAUUCCAAGUGUAGCAGUGAAAUGCGUAGAGAUUUGGAGGAAUACCAAUGGCGAAGGCAGCCCCCUGGGAUAAUACUGACGCUCAUGCACGAAAGCGUGGGGAGCAAACAGGAUUAGAUA